rnacentral:rRNA from 1 species
AUUGAACGCUGGCGGCAUGCUUUACACAUGCAAGUCGGACGAGUGGCGAACGGGUGAGUAACGCAUCGGAACGUACCGUGUAAAGGGGGAUAACUGUCCGAAAGGCCAGCUAAUACAGCAGAAUCUUCGAGCGGCCGAUGUCUGAUUAGCUGGUUGGCGGGGUAAAGGCCCACCAAGGCGACGAUCAGUAGCGGGUCUGAGAGGAUGAUCCGCCACACUGGGACUGAGACACGGCCCAGACUCCUACGGGAGGCAGCAGUGGGGAAUUUUGGACAAUGGGCGCAAGCCUGAUCCAGCCAUGCCGCGUGUCUGAAGAAGGCCUUCGGGUUGUAAAGGACUUUUGUCAGGGAAGCGGUACCUGAAGAAUAAGCACCGGCUAACUACGUGCCAGCAGCCGCGGUAAUUC